AAGUGUCUAAUCUGUUUGAAUGAUACAUAACUCACUAAAGAUUAAGAGUAUCAAAGCAAAUAUAUAUCUAGAAUGACAAAAUUUGGAUAUUUAGCGGCAACUUUUUUCAUAAAUUACUGCAUUUCAAAAUUCAAAAAUUCAGAUCUCUCUCCAUCGUUCUCUUUGUCUGCCGGUACGAAAGCUCAGCACCGUCACCAGAAUAAACGCAAAAACUUUGAUCGCAAUGCAAACAGAGGAACCGCCGUUAGAGACUUUUCAUCUGUUUCCGAAAACCGAGGCUCGAUCACUUCGCAGUUACUUAGCAAAGAUGGUUGUCAUGGCUUAUGGCCGUCACCGGGGAAGCAAUCAGCGAUUGGGCUCAUCACCGUCGAGCAGCAGAGAUGAAGAAUAACAAUCCAGAAGUGAUGAUGGUUGUUGAUGCAGCCGCGAGGAGAAAGAACAGCGGCAGCGGCGAGUGGUGUUCCUCCCAACAGUGAAGAAGGAGUAGCUAGAAGCAAGUUGAUGACACGGUGAAGAGAACGAGAGCUCUGAGAUCCUACCAUCGACGGUGUUGCGGAGCUUGCAACUGAACACUGUGCCAAUCCGAAGACAUGCUUCUUUCAUGUUCUCUUCAAGAUUUUCAACAGGUGUGCAUAAAAGGGUUUCAUUUAAAUGAAUAGUGGCCAAACUAUUGGAAUGCUUCUGAAAUUUGUGAACCAUAUCAGUGCAUACAGUAACGAUUUGUACAUUGUCUCAUAUAAAAUGAGUGUGCGUGUAAUCCUCUUCUUCUUAAGAUGUUUCAUAAAUUGAUGCUGAUGGCAAACAGGCAAAGUAAGUAAACAUUAUUAUUAAGUUUAUUGGAACCUGUAUAUAUUAUGUAGUUCUUAUUUUUUUUUAAAAUUUAGAUGGUUAGUGAUUUUAUUAAUUCACACCUUAUCAUAUGAGAACAGCAAAUCUGUAGAAGCUUAGCAUGGUGAGUUAUCAAAUCUUAUGCCUUAUUGGCUUAUUCUUGGUUAUUUUGGAUGGUAUAUGGGCACAUCUAUAGAAGUGUAAACUGUAAAAGAAACUAUAGAACACAUAUUGCAAACAUUAGGAACAAUAUUUUAAAUGAUUUAUUGUGAAUCAAAUUGAUCUCUUAUCUUAAAGCAUGCUAUUGGUAAACUUUUGAUAUUGAAAAAGGUACUUUCUUCAAUUCAAGAAUUAAGUCACAUGUGCAGUUGUUCCACAUUAAAUAUUGAUUUUUGCUUUGAGAUAUAGCAUUUGGUUAGUCUUAGAAGUUUUUUGCUUUUAAUCACUUUUGAUGUCACCAUAAAAAAACUUCCUAACUUAACAAUUUGCUACUUCUCUUGGGGAUGUUAUAAGAAUGAGAAACGUGUAACUUUGGAUGAUAUAUGGGCAGAACAGCUAUAGAGAAGAAAAUUUUAUUUCCUUUCAAUAAAUUUACAAAGUUGAAUCUUUGGAUGAUGUAGCUUCUGAAUAUAUUACAAGCUAAUUAUAACUAUCAGCAAUGAAUGGUUGGGCAUACCAUAGACUUUUUCUUCAUUUCUUAAUGGAGAUUUGUAAUGCAGAUUUCUAAAAUGGUGUAAUUCUCUUGGAGAAUUCCCAUACUUUGAUUCUUGAUCAGGUUAAAAGAAAUCAUGCUUUCAUGUUCAGCUCUGUAAAGAAGGUAAUGAAUACUGCAAUGCAUCAAAAUGGAAAAUGGACAUCAGCUCCAAGAGUUCUCAAAGGUAAAUUUGACUGUCUUUUAUUUGGUAAGCCUUUUAAGUGCUAAUUUUUCCUUUUGUUUUCUUACUUGCAUGAUUCAUUCUAUUGUCUUAUAUAUAAAUUUAUUUGGUUUGAUGUUUGGCAAAAAAGUCAAGGUUCAGGGGUUUAUCAUGCUCUACACAACUCUUACCUACUAUAUUAAAUGUUAAGAUGUUUGGUGUGUGGCUCCUAUUUUCUGCUAAUAAGAAGUCAUAUCAGACAUAUGAGAUUACUUGCCUUUGUUGAGUAAGAUAUGUGAGAGUUACAGCAAAACUAAAAAAAAUGACGUGUUUGGUUGUUAACUUGCUAUAUCGGUAUCUUUUCGCUUUUUCGAAAAUUUUAAGAACAAAAAGAAUAUAGUGACUUUGGGGUAUUUACAUAUUCAUGACUUUUGGUGUUCAUACAUAUAUAUAAAAAGAAAAAAUGCCAACUUUUGUCUCAUCUCCAUGCAAAGAUCGUUGAAUGUUUCGACCAAUCUCAAUUUCUCAAAGCUAAUGAAUGUUAUAUUUUUUACCAACCUACCAUUAAUUGCAUAAUUUAUUGGUUUUGACAUUCUUUCCUUUGUAUUUUGUGAUUUAUAGUCAUAAGUACUCAAUAAAGUUGACUUCAAGUGGUGUUUGGUGUUGCAAUGACAUCAGGUAUAAGGGACCCUAACACUAUAGCAAUGACAUCAGAUGACAGGAGAAACGGGCUGCGCUCGCAGAUUGAUGCAAGAUUGAUUGCGGCUGCUGCAAGGGGCAAGGACUUGGAAAGUUUCAUUUAUUGUUGAAAUUUGUCUUUUUAACUAUUAUCAAUGCUUAAUGUGUUUAAUAAUAAUAUUCAAGGCAUAAGUACUCACAUUCAAUUUGAAAUUAAGGCAUGUGAUAAUAAAAAAA